rnacentral:lncRNA from 1 species
AUUUUCUCUUGCCACUGUCACGUAAGAAGCGGUUUUUGCCUCCCACCGUGAUUGUGAGGCCUCCCCAGCCAUGUAGAAUUAGCCAGCCUGUUUUUGAUGAAGAGCAACUGUACUGGAGAGAAAGCCUGUAUUCAUAUUCAUCGUCAUCAGGCAAAUCAAGGAGCCGACUUGCUUGGGAUCAUCUGCUGGUUGAAUCCAUGGAUGCAGAACCCCAGAUUCAGAGGGCUGAACGUACUUUCGAUAGGUUCCUGAGCAGCAGCGAUUACAUUCACAGCAGACUGGACAGUUUGCUGAGCAAGUUCAGGGGCUGGCUUAGUGCUUCAUAGUUCUUUCUUCCUCCUCUCCCAACAGUUUUGUUUCAGCAGUGAUUUGGUCAAAUGUGAACCACAAACCAGCAGCAAAAGCAUUUUCUAGGAACUUGUUAAAACUGGAAGGCCCAAGGUUGCACUCAGGCUUACUGAGUCAGUCACUCCAAGUGGACCCAAUCCCUGAACCUUGAGACCCACUGCCCCUCUUUUGAUCUGGGAGAGAAACAGAAAAAAGAAGGAAAAAAAAUCCCCAAUGUGAGUAUGCUGGAAAGUAAAUUUGAAUAGCUUUUUAUAUUGGGUACUUACUGUGGGUAAUUUACAAACGAUUGGAAGCAACCACAAAUUAAAACACAGCCAAAUUUAAGGUCUCUUUAGCGGAAAUCAAUCUUACAUCAUGGCAGUUCUCCCAUACUCCAGUCUUUCACUUGAUAGAUCACUUCCUCAUUAGGAUGACCUCCACCAAUUCUACACAAACUGCUCUUUACGUUUAAACAGUGCUUUCUGUCCUAACAUGUCAAAAUGCUUGACAAGCAAUCAAAAGGUAGCUCACUAAUUUUUUCAACUCAUGGCAGUAAAUAGGCUGCAUCUACCAUCACUGCUGUUUACUGGUGAUUUCUUGGCAGGGAAACUUUAAAUGCCUUAGCAAUGUCUAGAAAGUCAAUGACUAAAGAAGAAAAUAUUCAUUUUGGCUUCCAUAGGGCUGUAUUUGAUGAAUUGCUCACUAACUUCUAUUAUUACGUCUCAAGAAUAGAUAAUGAUACUCAUCAAGGGCAAAUCCCAAAGAAUAGUCUAUGCUUUCCUUGAUUGAAUCUGAUUUUUGAGAAAUUACAUGGCCUAAUCUACAUUUAAUUAUGAUACAAAUGCUACUUAACUCCCUGUUAUUUCUGGCUGCAUAUAACUGAUACUACUUGAAGAGUAAGAAGCAGAGUCUCACUACACUGGGGACCCUUUGAGAGCCAAGUCUGUGUCUUAGUCAUCUUUGAUGGCUUAGUGACCAGUACCAUAUCUGGAAUAGCAUAUGUGAUCAGUAACUCAAAUGUAUGUAUUUCUUGAAUGUAUGGUGCAUGAAUGAGUCAAGAUACUUUUAGCGUUGGAAGCAAUCUGUCAUGCAGUAGGAGGAGAAAAAGUAGUGAAAAAACUUCUAAAUUCUCAAAACCUAGUGCUGAACUGAAUGCUGAUAAUAAUUUGACAACGUCCUUUGGCAUUGCAGAUGUUGAGAUACCAACAUCUAAUCUGCCAAGAAAGAAUUUCAGAAUUAAAAUUUGGGUGUGUUCUUGCGCUGGGGAUUUCUCUGACCUACCUUCUGAUAGAACUUGGAACCCAAGUCAAUAGUCAAUAUACUAGUUUUUUACUUAAAACUGUAACAUUUUAAUCCAAUUUUAGAGACGUGAAAUAAAACUGAUGGGAAACUCUUGAAAUUUUUAUCACUGGAAUAACCUAAUUUUGAAAACGCUGAUGGUUAGUUUCUUGAGAUAUUAAUAUUACUACAAGUCGUAAGUAAAAGCAUUCUAUCUUAAGUGAGAAACUAUAAAGAUAGAUAAUUACUAUUUGAGUUUGUGGCCUGGUUUGAAUAAACACUUGCUUGUUUUAAGUAAAACAAAGUUCAGCUGAAGUGACAAUCCAUCUUUAAUCUUAUAAAGCUUCUAUGUUAGAUAUUUUCUAUCUCUAACACACCAAACAUGCAUAUUAAACUGAGUUUUUUUGCAUGCAA